rnacentral:snRNA from 1 species
GGAUGUGAGGACGAUGUGGCUGCAACAUCUGUCACCCCGUUCAUCAUCAGCAUUGUUUCGGCUGAACUGGCUGGCUAGGCGGGUGUCCCCUUCCUCCCUUACUGCCUACCCCCUGUGCAUCCCUCCCGGCGCUGCGCUCCAUGGAAGAGGACGGCCUUCCGCAAGGAGGAGACAAGAGCAUUGCAACAUGGAA